GCUGCAACUCGCCUACAUGAAGUCGGAAUCGCUAGUAAUCGCGGAUCAGCAUGCCGCGGUGAAUACGUUCCCGGGCCUUGUACACACCGCCCGUCAAGCCAUGGAAGCCGGGAGUGCCUGAAGUGCGUGAGCGCAAGCAGCGCCCUAAGGUAAAACCGGUGACUGGGGCUAAGUCGUAACAAGGUAUC
rnacentral:rRNA from 1 species